rnacentral:rRNA from 1 species
GUUGGUCAGCCGCAAGGUAUGUNACUGGCCGCGCUGUUCUUCUUCGCCAAGACUGCGCGUGCUCUUAGUUGAGUGUGCGCAGGAUUCGCGACGUUUACUUUGAAAAAAUUAGAGUGUUCAAAGCAGGCUCGUGCUUGGAUACAUAAGCAUGGAAUAAUGGAAUAGGACUUUGGUUCUAUUUUGUUGGUUUCUCGAACCGAAGUAAUGAUGAAUAGGGACAGUUGGGGGCAUUCGUAUUUCGUUGUCAGAGGUGAAAUUCUUGGAUUUACGAAAGACGAACUAAUGCGAAAGCNUUUGCCAAGAAUGUUUUNAUUAAUCAAGAACNAAAGUUAGAGGAUCGAAGACGAUCAGAUACCGUCCUAGUUCUAACCAUAAACGAUGCCGACUAGGGAUCGGCGGGUGUUAUUGUAUGACCCCGUCGGCACCUUAUGGGAAACCAAAGUUUUUGGGUUCCGGGGGAAGUAUGGUUGCAAAGCUGAAACUUAAAGGAAUUGACGGAAGGGCACCACCAGGAGUGGAGCCUGCGGCUUAAUUUGACUCAACACGGGAAAACUCACCAGGUCCGGACAUANUAAGGAUUGACAGAUUGAGAGCUCUUUCU